rnacentral:rRNA from 1 species
CCUACGGGGGGCAGCAGUGGGGAAUAGUGGGCAAUGGGCGCAAGCCUGACCCAGCAACGCCGCGUGAAGGAAGAAGGCUUACGGGUUGGAAACUUCGUUUGUCAGGGACGAAGCAAGUGACGGUAACUGACGAAUAAGCAACGGCUAACGACGGGCCAUCAGCCGCGGUAAUACGUAGGUGGCAAGCGUUAUCCGGAUUUAUUGGGUGGAAAGGGCGUGUAGGCGGGAAUGCAAGGCAGAUGUGACAACUAUGGGCUCAACCCAUAGCCGGCAUUUGAAACUGUAUUUCUUGAGUGCUGGAUAGGCAAUCGGCAUUCCGUGUGUAGCGGUGAAAUGCGUUGAUAUACGGAGG